UCCGGUUUGUCACCGGCAGUCUCCUAUGAGUCCCCAACUGAAUGAUGGCAACAUAGGACGGGGGUUGCGCUCGUUGCGGGACUUAAGCCAACACCUCACGACACGAGCUGACGACAACCAUGCACCACCUGUGAACCGGCCCCAAAGGGGAAGGACUGUUUCCAGCCCGGUCCGGCCCAUGUCAAGCCUUGGUAAGGUUCUUCGCGUUGCAUCGAAUUAAUCCGCAUGCUCCGCCGCUUGUGCGGGCCCCCGUCAAUUCCUUUGAGUUUUAGCCUUGCGGCCGUACUCCCCAGGCGGGGCACUUAAUGCGUUAGCUACGGCGCGGAGAACGUGGAAUGUUCCCCACACCUAGCACCCACCGUUUACGGCGUGGACUAC
rnacentral:misc_RNA from 1 species